rnacentral:rRNA from 1 species
GCCUUGGCGUGCACAGGCGAUGAAGGACGUAAUACGCUGCGAUAAGCGUCGGGGAGCUGCGAAUAAGCUUUGAUCCGAUGAUUUCCGAAUGGGGAAACCCGACCAUUUAGGUCACCCGCAAGGGAGCUAACCUGGGGAACUGAAACAUCUAAGUACCCAGAGGAAGAGAAAACAAAUAGUGAUUCCAUGAGUAGUGGUGAGCGAAAGUGGAGAAGCCCAAACCAUAGCAGUUUUGGCUGGUAUGGGGUUGUAGGGCUAGCGCAACAAAUUAAGCGUGGGAACUUAAAUUACCUGGAAAGGUAAGCCAUAGAAGGUGAAAGCCCUGUCAAGGUAACCAUGUUUGAUUUAGCUAGUACCCUGAGUAGGUCAGUCCUGGUGAAAGGCUGACUGAAUUUGCCGGCACCAUCCGGUAAGGCUAAAUACUCCUAAGAGACCGAUAGUGGACGAGUACCGUGAGGGAAAGGUGAAAAGUACCCUGAAUAAGGGAGUGAAAUAGUACCUGAAACCAUACGCUUACAAGCAGUCGGAGUUUUUAUUUUAUAGAAAUGACGGCGUGCCUUUUGCAUAAUGAGCCUAUGAGUUAAUCUUUUCUGGCAAGGUAAAUCCUUUAGAAAGGAAAAGCCGAAGCGAAAGCGAGUCUGAAUAGGGCGAUUGAGUCAGAGGAGUUAGACGCGAAAGCCGGUGAUCUACCCAUGACCAGGUUGAAGCGUUGGUAAAACAACGUGGAGGACCGAACCAGUGAAUGUUGUAACGUUCUUGGAUGAGUUGUGGGUAGGAGUGAAAGGCUAAUCAAACCGGCAGAUAGCUCGUACUCUCCGAAAUGUUUUUAGGAACAGCCUUAAGUUUAUACUGAUAGGGGUAGAGCUACCGAUGGGACUAGGGGGGAAACCUACCGUGUCUAGACGAACUCCGAAUACUAUCAGUUUUGCUUAGGAGUGAGGGUUAGGGCGUCAAGGUCCUAAUCCGAGAGGGAAAGAACCCAGACCAUCAGCUAAGGUCCCUAAAUAUAUACUAAGUUGAACUAAGAUGGUUCAGUUGCUUAGACAGUCAGGAUGUUGGCUUGGAAGCAGCCAUUCAUUUGAAGAGUGCGUAACAGCUCACUGAUCGAGCAACAGGGCGUCAAUAAUGAACGGGCAUAAAGUAUAUUACCGAAGCUAUGGCCUUGCUAUUAGGUAGCAAGGGGUAGGAGAGCAUUCUAAUGAAGCUGAAGCUAAGCAAGUGAUUCUUAGUGGAUUUAUUAGAAAAGAAAAUGUAGGCAUAAGUAGCCAGAAUAAUGGUGAGAAACCAUUACACCGAAAGACUAAGGUUUCCACGGCGAUGUUUGUCAUCCGUGGGUUAGUCGGGCCCUAAGUUGAAGCCGAACGGCGUAGGCGAUGGAUAAUCGGUUAAUAUUCCGAUACUAGCUAGCAAUAGAGAAGGGGGGACGAAGGAGUGAAAGACUUGCCUUCUGACGAAUUAGGAGGUUAAAGCCUGUAGAUAGAGGUGUAGCAGGCAAAUCCACUACACCUGUCGAAGGUGAUAGUACUGCAAUCCUUAGGGAGCGCAGAUAAUGGUCCUAAUCAUACUUCCAAGAAAAGCCUCUAAUCGUUAGGUGCUAGCUAUCCGUACCGCAAACCAACACAGGUAGUUGAGGAGAAUAUCCUAAGGUGUUCGAGUGAGUCGUGGCCAAGGAACUCGGCAAAAUAGCCCUGUAACUUCGGGAGAAAGGGUGCCUCAUUCAUCUUCUUUAGGGAGGGUGAGUAGGCCGCAGUGAAGAGGCCCAGGCGACUGUUUACCAAAAACACAGGACUUUGCAAAAUCGAAAGAUGAAGUAUAAGGUCUGAUACCUGCCCGGUGCUGGAAGGUUAAUAGGAGGGGUUAAGCCGCAAGGUUGAAGCUCUGAAUAGAAGCCCCAGUAAACGGCGGCCGUAACCUUGACGGUCCUAAGGUAGCGAAAUUCCUUGUCGGGUAAAUUCCGACCUGCACGAAUGGUGUAACGAUCUGGGCGCUGUCUCAGCCACGAGCUCGGCGAAAUUGGAGUGGCGGUGAAGAUACCGUCUACCCGCAAUGGGACGAAAAGACCCCAUGAACCUUUACUAUAGCUUAACAUUGAUAAUAGGUAGAUAUUGUGUAGGAUAGGUGGGAGGCUACGCAAGUAGCCGCCGGUGAAAUACCACCCUUUAUCUAUGUGUUAUCUAAUCUUUGGGAGCAAGGAGACAGUGUUUGGUGGGUAGUUUGACUGGGACGGUCGCCUCCUAAAAAGUAACGGAGGCUUUCAAAGGUACCCUCAAUACGGAUGGUAAUCGUAUGUGGAGUGCAAUAGCAUAAGGGUGCUUGACUGUGAGACAAACAAGUCGAGCAGGGUCGAAAGACGGAUAUAGUGAUCCGGUGGUUCCGCAUGGAAGGGCCAUCGCUCAAAGGAUAAAAGGUACUCUGGGGAUAACAGGCUGAUCUCCCCCAAGAGCUCAUAUCGACGGGGAGGUUUGGCACCUCGAUGUCGGCUCGUCACAACCUGGAGCCGAAGCUGGUUCCAAGGGUUGGGCUGUUCGCCCAUUAAAGUGGCACGCGAGCUGGGUUCAGAACGUCGUGAGACAGUUCGGUUUCUAUCUAUUGCGGGCGUUAGAAGUUUGAGAGGAGCUAACCUUAGUACGAGAGGACCAGGUUGGGUAAACCGCUGGUGUAUCAGUUGUGACGUCAGUUGCACCGCUGAGUAGCUAUGUUUAUAAGAGAUAAGCGCUGAAAGCAUCUAAGCACGAAACUUUCCUCAAGAUGAGACUUCUUUAAGGAUGGUUAAAGAUGAUGACCUUGAUAGGUUACAAGUGUAAAGUCAGAAAUGGCAAAGCUGAGUAAUACUAAUUAUCCGAAUGUUUCUUAUU